GAUGAACGCUGGCGGCGUGCCUAAUACAUGCAAGUCGAGCGAACAGACGAGGAGCUUGCUCCUUUGACGUUAGCGGCGGACGGGUGAGUAACACGUGGGUAACCUACCUAUAAGACUGGGAUAACUUCGGGAAACCGGAGCUAAUACCGGAUAAUAUUUCGAACCGCAUGGCUCGAUAGUGAAAGAUGGCUUUGCUAUCACUUAUAGAUGGACCUGCGCCGUAUUAGCUAGUUGGUAAGGUAACGGCUUACCAAGGCAACGAUACGUAGCCGACCUGAGAGGGUGAUCGGCCACACUGGAACUGAGACACGGUCCAGACUCCUACGGGAGGCAGCAGUAGGGAAUCUUCCGCAAUGGGCGAAAGCCUGACGGAGCAACGCCGCGUGAGUGAUGAAGGUCUUCGGAUCGUAAAACUCUGUUAUUAGGGAAGAAUAAACGUGUAAGUAACUGUGCACGUCUUGACGGUACCUAAUCAGAAAGCCACGGCUAACUACGUG
rnacentral:rRNA from 1 species